GGAGGAGGCGGCGAGCUAGGGUUUCGACCCUCACGAACACUACUUGAUCUUAUCAGAGCGAGCCGUCCGGCGGCGCCGCGGCGGCCGGGGUCGCCUCUCCGACAUCCGCGCCGCCACCGCCGCCCUCCAAGGGUUGGCAGGAAGGUUGGCGCGCUUUGUUGGGGGAAAGAGGCGGCCUUGGUAUCCGUGGUUGCUGCCGGCGGUGAGCGAUGACGACUGCUCGCGGUCGGAGCGCGUGCGAUGAUGGCCGCGCGGGCUCACCCAAACAGCAUGCUAAACUAACAUUUGCGUUUUUUAUCCAUUGCUUUGUUGACGAUUUGUUGAUUUUUUCUUUUGUAUAUGGAUUUUCAUUUCAUUACUUACUCUUGUAUUAGUGAAUGCUAUAUAUUGGACCUGUGUCCGGCUGUUCUUUUCAUGGAGUGGUUUUGUAUAUGCUGUUUGGCAAUAGUGGAUGCAGAGACGCCUUUGGUAUACGAAUGUUUGUAAUUGAACUUGUACAUUGAACAUGUGGAUAUGUUAAUAUUUUUCUUUUUGUUGAGCUCACUUUGCGUUUGUAGAAUUCUUGCUUAUUUAUUAUGAAAAUCUUGUUUUCAAGCUAUUCUACGGUUUCGUUAUUAAUUAUUUCCAAACUACAGUAUCACUCAAAUCUCAAAUUUGAUGUUAUGUAUUUCCAAAUUACAAUAUCACUUCACUACAUUUCAAUGUUUCCGCUGCUGUCCUCGCAUAGCAUCCUUUCAAUCAACUUAAUAGCUUAAUCUUUUACUUCAAUGGGAUGAUAUAUAGAACUCGAAAA
rnacentral:lncRNA from 1 species